rnacentral:rRNA from 1 species
AAUGGGCGCAAGCCUGACCGAGCCAUGCCGCGUGAGCGAUGAAGGCCUUAGGGUUGUAAAGCUCUUUCGCCAGGGAUGAUAAUGACAGUACCUGGUAAAGAAACCCCGGCUAACUCCGUGCCAGCAGCCGCGGUAAUACGGAGGGGGUUAGCGUUGUUCGGAAUUACUGGGCGUAAAGCGUACGUAGGCGGACUGGAAAGUUGGGGGUGAAAUCCCAGGGCUCAACCCUGGAACUGCCUCCAAAACUGCCAGUCUUGAGUUCGAGAGAGGUGAGUGGAACUCCGAGUGUAGAGGUGAAAUUCGUAGAUAUUCGGAAGAACACCAGUGGCGAAGGCGGCUCACUGGCUCGAUACUGACGCUGAGGUACGAAAGUGUGGGGAGCAAACAGGAUU